GCCGCUGUGGCUUAGUUGGUUAAAGCACUUCUCUUGUAAACAUGAGAUCUUGAGUUCAACUCUCGGCAGUGCCU
rnacentral:tRNA from 1 species